rnacentral:siRNA from 1 species
CAUUCAGCAUUCGCCAUUGUGC